CCCCCGCAGAGGCAAGCACCGUGCGGGGCCCGCCGGGGGACGCGGCGCAGGGGCAGCCCCUCACACGGUGGUCUCGCCGUGCCGGCUGUUGGUGAGACGGGUGUAGAACUUUCUCCACGAGUGCAACGUCUUGCCGGACCAGAUCCAGAAGCCCGACGUGAUGCCCACGAUGAGCGUCAUGAGGUAUUUGAUCAUGUAGACGGUGAAGUCGGGCGACAUGCGCGGCGUGUAGUGCGCGGGGCACGGGAUGGCCAGGCUCUUGCAGUGCUGGCUCACCCACGAGCGCUCCCAGUGCUCUCGGAAGGCCUGCUCGUAGAAGUAGCAGGCGAUGACGAUGGUGGCAGGCACGGUGUAGAGCACCGAGAAAACGCCGAUGCGCACCAUCAGCCGCUCCAGCUUCUCCGUCUUGGUGCCGUCGUGCUUCAUGAUGGUGCGGAUGCGGAAGAGGGACACGAAACCGGCCAGGAGGAAGGACGUGCCGAUGAACAGGUACACGAAGAGCGGCGCCAGCACGAAGCCGCGCAGCGGGUCCAGGCUGUUGAGGCCCACGAAGCACACGCCGCUCAGCAGGUCGCCGUCAAUCUGGCCCAUGGCCAGGAUCGUGAUGGUCUUGACCGCCGGCACGGCCCACGCGGCCAGGUGGAAGUACUGCGAGUUGGCCUCGAUGGCCUCGUGGCCCCACUUCAUGCCGGCCGCCAGGAACCAAGUGAGCGACAGGAUGACCCACCAGAUGGAGCUGGCCAUGCUGAAGAAGUAGAGCAUCAUGAAGAGGAUGGUGCAGCCCUCCUUCUUGGUGCCCUGCACUACCGUGCGGUAGCCGUCCUCGGAAAAGCGCUCGUUGCACACGACGCGCUCCUGGAGCACGAAGCCCGCGAUGUAGGCCACCGAGACCAUAGUGUAGCAGCCGGACAGAAAGAUGAUGGGGCGCUCCGGGUAGCGGAAGCGCUGCAUGUCCACCAGGUACGUAGUGACGGUGAAGAAGGUGGAGGCGCAGCACAGCACCGACCAGGUGAGGAUCCAGAGGCGCGCGAAGCGCGUCUCCUCCUGCGAGAAGAACAUGGAGCCGUCGGGCCGCGCGGGCUCGCAGGGCGCCGCGCAGUCGCGCUCGCCCAGGNNNNNNNNNNNNNNNNNNNNNNNNNNNNNNNNNNNNNNNNNNNNNNNNNNNNNNN
rnacentral:lncRNA from 1 species